UACAGAGGUCUCAAGCGUUGUUCGGAUUCAUUGGGCGUAAAGGGUGCGUAGGCGGCGCGGUAAGUCGGGUGUGAAAUCUUGGAGCUUAACUCCGAAACUGCAUUCGAUACUGCCGUGCUUGAGGACUGGAGAGGAGACUGGAAUUUACGGUGUAGCGGUGAAAUGCGUAGAGAUCAUGAGGAAGACCAGUGGCGAAGGCGGGUCUCUGGACAGUUCCUGACACUGAGGCACGAAGGCCAGGGGAGCAAACGGG
rnacentral:rRNA from 1 species